UUCUCAGAUCAUUGACCCAUUUCGAAUUCUUUGCGAAUGUCUAGACUUGUUUUUGACCUGCGCACUGUGAAUGUUGAAGUCACAAGCUUUAAACAAUGCAUUUAAUUAUUUAGAUAAUGAAACUUUGACAGUAUUACAAAUUCGGGCAGACAUAUUAUUUGAUGCUAAAUUUUCUAUUCGUAAAAUUUCGUGUAAUUUUGUUUUCGAUUGAGUAGUGAAAACUAUUUUCUUAUUGAUAUAGGUAAGAUAUAAUUCUCUUUAUGUAAAAAUUAACGAAAUUUGUCCAAUUAAAGUUUCCAGGAAAACGAACGAAUUCAGUGUAUUACAUUUUAUGGAAAGCAUAGGUUUUAUCAAUUUUUUGUUAAUAUUUUCAAAGUAAUUAAAAUUAAGCAUUUUCUUCAGAUAAUUUGAAAUUGUGUGAAUCAUUAAUUUACUUAUAAACAUUAAACAAACGAUAAUCUAAAAUAUAGCAUCAAAAAGUUCGUUUAUCCUUGUCUGUCUGGACAGCAUGUCGGCCAUCUUUGUAGGUCGACGCAAUUAUUGUUCACGUCAAAUCUUUUCAACUAUAAUGUGUUUUUUCAUAUAAAAAUUUAUAUAGAUAUUAAUAUUAAAACACCUUAUUUCGAUUGUAGUACAAAAUAGUUAUUAUUAGAUAAAUAAAAUACAGAGAUACCCGGAUCUGUUUAAUAACGACUAAAAAAUCUUUCGAUUUCUAGUUUUAAAAAUGUGACUAAUGUUGAAAAUUUUCAUUGGAAACUUUGGAAAUUUUCAGUAUAUCGAUAGAAAAUAGUUUUUAUUUUAAAAUUUUCGUGAAACGGAUUGAAAAUAAACAUUAAAAGAAUUUUCCGUGUUUCAAUACAAUAUUGUGUGGUGAAAAUCAUGGAUACCCAGAAAAUUUUUAACUACCAAGAUGAUCAUUUCCUCAUUUGUGAAAUGGUUCAUUCAAUUCCUUACUUGAUGACUCCUGAGUUUGUAUUUCCUGAUUUUGAAUAUCAGAUGACAUCCCAGUACUGGUAGGAGCAGUGCUAUUACUGGCUGACCGGCCCUCCAUGUCUGCAACUUCAACAUCGGAAGGUGUUUGUGCGCGAUUCGACGCUAAAUUUUAACCCGUUAACGAAACGAAAAAUAUAUAUAGUGUGCGAAUCGAUAAAGUGGUUUGCCAAAAGGAAGGAAUAAAUAACAAAAAAACAUAUUUCUUCAAUUUUUAUAACAAAUAUGUAUUUCAAACUACAAAUAUGUGUUUCCAAAAUGGAAAUGCUGCUGUAUCAGGAAUAUAUAAAUACAUGUAAAAUUCU